UCUGUGAUGCCCUUAGAUGUUCUGGGCUGCACGCGCGCUACACUGACAAAGUCAGCGAGUGAAACCUUGGCCGAGAGGCCUGGGAAAUCUUGGGAAACUUUGUCGUGCUGGGGAUAGAUCAUUGCAAUUAUUGGUCUUGAACGAGGAAUUCCUAGUAAGCGCAAGUCAACAGCUUGCGUUAAUUACGUCCCUGCCCUUUGUACACACCGCCCGUCGCUACUACCGAUUGAAUGGCUUAGUGAGGCCUUUGGAUUGCGGGGGGAUGGGAGCGAUCCUGUCCCGACUGUGAGAAAUUGGACAAACUUGGUCAUUUAGAGGAAGUAA
rnacentral:rRNA from 1 species